GCCUUAUCAAGAGCGGCGGAGGGGAUAGGCCCUAUGAAGCCCGGCAACCGGUAGAAUUACGCGGUGCUAAAUCCUACAGAACUUGUAUUCUGGAAGAUGAGGA
rnacentral:ncRNA from 1 species